UAUUUUCUGUAAAAUCUGCAGACAAAAAUUGGGCUCAACAGAGACAUAUCCUCAAAAUCAGGAAGAGCAUUGAAUUAAAAGAUUUCACUAGUCAUUCAAUUAUUUUCGUUUCACGUAGGUGUCGGUAGAAAUUAGUAUAAGAAGGAGAGUUGUAAAGAUUUUAGUUUCAUACCUUCUCCAACACAUAGCUUUACUACACACACCAAAAUCCAGUUUCACACUUCUUCGACGCACUCUAAGAUUUUUUUUUUCUACCAAGAUCCUACACACCUAAAAUCCCUUUUCAUCCAAAAUUUUAAGCAAGUACACAGAAAAAGUUUUCCACCUUUCCUAGCAAGUUUUCAAGCAAGCAUUCUUUAAGAAGGAGAAUUUCAAGCAGGAGCACAUUAAAUAAAUCUUUAAUCAUUCUUUUGAGGUUGAGCUGUGAUAGAGUGGAUGGUGCUAAUUAAACCAGACCUACUUCUAUUUCCAUUCAAUACUCUCGGAGGUUCCUGUCUUCAUACAUGGAACCGCGUUCAGUUCUUUCCGCUGUGCAUUGAAGCAAGUGAAAUCCUUAUGUCUCUAAAGACUCUAAUAACUAGCCAGUAUAUUGUAUGGUCCCUUACUCGAGUCAUUGUGAUGGAGCCAUUCUAUUCAUGUAUUCAUCGUUUAUACUCUACAGACAGAAAGUUCAACCAUUAAA